rnacentral:rRNA from 1 species
AUUGAACGCUGGCGGCAGGCCUAACACAUGCAAGUCGAACGGAGCGGCGGACGGGUGAGUAAGGCCUAGGAAUCUGCCUGGUGGUGGGGGAUAACUUCCGGAAACGGGCGCUAAUACCGCAUACUAUCAGAUGAGCCAAGUGCGGAUUAGCUAGUGGGUGGGGUAAAGGCCUACCAAGGCGACGAUCCGUAACUGGUCUGAGAGGAUGAUCAGUCACACUGGAACUGAGACACGGUCCAGACUCCUACGGGAGGCAGCAGUGGGGAAUAUUGCACAAUGGGCGAAAGCCUGAUGCAGCCAUGCCGCGUGUAUGAAGAAGGCCUUCGGGUUGUAAAGUACUUUCAGCGAGGAGGCGUUACUCGCAGAAGAAGCACCGGCUAACUCCGUGCCAGCAGCCGCGGUAAUAC